rnacentral:lncRNA from 1 species
GUUUCUGGUUGGAGAUCCUUUCUUUGUGGAGUUUCCCUUGCGAGCCUACGUCUUCAGAGAUGGUAUAAAUGGAUCAUGAAUAAUUUCAAAGAGCAAGAUCUGAGACUCUGUCCAAUUUCCUCGAAUUAAUAACUGACUGUAGGAUAUGACCAAGCAAUUUGGAACCUGACAGCAGAGUGAGCUGAGAAUAACUGUAACCAGCCCACUCUGCUGCAAAAUAUUGCAUUGGUGCUAGAAUAGCUUCUGCAGAAACAAGGUCACACAGAGAGAAACAUAUUCUCUCUACAAUGAUUAGAAGGAUUUCCUUCAAGGUGGAUGAAGCACCAGUAUAAGUGGAGCAGCAUGCAGUUACAGAAGAACAUGACUGCUGAUGUCCCCAUGUAUUUUCAACACCAAUAAGCCAAUGUCUCCCUUUUUAUCAGGCUUCUGAUCUGUAAAAAUACUGAGGACUGUGCAAUUCUAUUGAAGUGCAUUCACUUUUAUCAGCUCGUUCCAUUCAUCUCCUUGCAAGAAGACAGGUGUUGUGGUUUAACCUGGCAUCACAUAGUUGUUCACUCAUUCUCCCCCUUCCUAGUGGGCUGAAUGAGAGAAUGGGGGAAAGAGAAGUAGAACUUGUGGAUUGAGAUAAAAGCUAUUUACUAAGAUACAGAAAAGGAUCAUAGUUAUGACUGUGUGUAUGUGUGUGUAGUUGUCACUAUCCUGGAUUUAACCAAAAGGGCAGUGCAAUAAUCUUUAUUGUACAGCAUUUUUAAAUAAAACACAGCUACAUUUUUCCCCAGUCUCUGUUCAUUUCUGCAGUUGAAAAGUAUGAAAUGCCAUAAAAACUGCCUGCAGAGAUUGUGGAAAGUAUAAACAAUCUUCUUUCGUAAGAGCAAGCUGGAUUUACAAAACCUGCAGCACCCACUGUUUAUUGAGUGGUGUGACAAGCCAGAUCAAUCCUGUUACUCUUGUUGUAAGAGAGGGUUUUUUUAAUCCUUGUAUAGAACAUUCUCCUAUUUCUGCAAACCAAAGUUCUUGCUGACUCUCAAACCAAAUUGUUUAUGCCUUUUGAGUCACUGCAUAAUAAAUCCCUUCUGUUGUUCAU